UGGGACUCCCUUACCCAUUGGUUCAUUUAACGGUACCACUCGGAGACAGGUGUAAUCUCUAAAGUCCCACACCAAGACAUUCGGUAUUGGAACUUCAUCAUAUGAAUUUCAGGUAGGUGGGAAUGCAAUUCAGCUCAUAACACUACCCACUCAAAAGACUGAGGAGUCUGCUUGCCAGCAUAAUUUACCUGCUUGCAAAUGUGACCUGACCUGCCUCUUACCUAGAACCCACACAAGCCGGCCAGUGUCAUAUAACCACUUGCUUGUAAUGAGAACUGGCUGAUUUUGCCUGGGUGACUGACCUUUGCACUAAAUUACUCCUCGGCUGCCUAGCACCACGGCCAGCCUGCUGACAUCACAGGCAUCUAGGGCAAUGCUGCCCUCGAACUUGCUUCCAUCUCCUUCUAGCAAUGCUUUGGUCACACCUCUCCUUCUCUAGGCUCUGCUGUACCUACCUCCCCAAUUCCUGCUUCCUUUCCUGCUACACACUGUCUAGUCUCUACUGGGAAGCCAGACAGUUUUGCAAUUGAAAAUUCACUUACUGUGGCUCAGCUACUUUGUUCUAGUGCUAUGUACUAGGCAUAAUUGGCUUCAGUUUUUUCCUUAUUCUCAAGAAUGUUUUACAUGUAUACAAAGAUAUAUGAUCAUAUCCAUGCUUCAUUUCCUUUUCCAACUCUCCCUUUAGCCCAGCAGCUGUCAAUUGCUUUGAGAUCUCUUUGCUUUCUUGGCUGAUGUCCCAUGUCUUCUUAUCUGAGUAUUUUCUUCCCAGUUUGCUGCUGUAUACCAUCAUCCUUGACAAACAGCCUCUUCCUCAUUUUUGCUUGAGAACUUUGGCCUUCAUCCCAUCAUCAGUUUUUCUCCAUAUGUAGCUUUGUGGGUCUCACUUGCAUUUUGCCAUAUUCAUUAAAUCUCUAUAUUAGCAGAAAUCAUCUUGGUAAACUGUUAAGGAUUUCAGAUGUUUUUAAAGCAGCAAUUUUCAAUACGUAGAACCAAAUUUACAAGUAUACAAUGUAUAACAGUUGUUUAAAGGUAAGGUAGACCAAGCUAAAAAACUGUUUAUGUGCAAAGGCUUCCAGGAAAAAACAUAUAGAGGCCAUGUUUUGUUUGUUUAUUUGCUUGUUUGUUUUAAAAAUCUUAAUUAUGGAUUCUGCUAAAACUAGUUAUGUGACUAUAGGCAUAUUAGCCUCUUGAAGUUUCUGUCAGUCCCCUUAGAGAAUGGAAAUGUGCACGCCAUCCUGUGUGUGUGUGUGUGUGUGUGUGUGUGUCUGUGUCUGUGUGUGUGUGUCUGUGUGUGUGGUGCGGCAGCUCGCCACUUCUCGAGGUUCCUUCUACUGUGGCCUGGUUGCAGGCUGGUUGGCGAGCCUGGCAAUAAUUUCUCCAGGAUUGAACUACAGCUGCCUGGUGUCUGCUUGCUGGAAGGACUGGACUGUAGCUGCCAGUUCGCAUUUGGUAUCUGCUUGCCUAGAGGACUGGUCUGCAACUGCUGAGUUGUAUUUGGUGUUUGCUACAGGACCAAACUGCUGCCAAAGAAGCUCAACCUCACCCCCAAAGAACUCUUAUGAACAGGCCCACUUCCCCCAUAUCCUAAUAACGUUUCUCUUCCAUUACCUCUGCUGGGCGGUGGGCGAGAGGAGAGGUUGAACCCUUAUUGAAGUAGGUUGCAAAAAUAUAUGCCUACAGAUUUCUCAUUUGGUUUACGUUUGGUUCUGUUUUGCUUUUUCCCUAGCCACUUGACGUUUCCACGUGUCACAGCUCUGACCUCAGCAACUGAAGUCAGAAAGAAGGCAAAGAUUGCAAGGCAGACAAAGCAAGGGUUGAGGCGGGUAGCAAACAGAAGCACAUUGUCAUGGCAAAUAUCUGCCUAGCGUGUAUGCAGAUCUAAGACCAUGGCCUAAAUCACACCAUACCAAGGUGAGGAGCUGGGCGGCAACUCACCAGAGCGGUUAAAGAGAGUGCCGGCCCUCCUCUUUAGGGCAGGCUUUUAGACCACCAGGACGAUCUGUUCUGCCCUUCAUGUCAAUGAGGAAAUAUGCCCAUCAGUGAGUCCCACUCUCCAGCACUUGAGCACACAGCAAACGCCAGCCACAUGGCCAGUGGACAUCCACAGCCCCCAUAAUCCAUCCCCCCACCCUGAGUUUUAAAGAUGUUCACAGCCUUUGCAUACUCUAGAACUUCACAGAAAUGAAAGUAAAAAUUUCCCACAAUCCUCUCACCUGUGUUUUUCUAAAAAGUAUGCAUUGACUCCUUUUCCCCCCUGUGAACACAGAAGAAACCACUGCCUGUGCACAUGUCAGUGUGCAGUGAUAAUCUUUCUAGAAAGUUCUGGCUUCCUGCCGCGGUCGCUUUACUCCAGG
rnacentral:lncRNA from 1 species